rnacentral:rRNA from 1 species
AGGUGGGGGCCUUGAGCCGUGGCUUCUGGAUCUAACGCGUUAAAUCAACCGCCUGGGGAGUACGGCCGCAAGGUUAAAACUCAAUGAAUUGACGGGGGCCCGCACAAGCGGGGGAGCAUGGGGUUUAAUUCAAUGCAACGCAAAAAACCUUACCUACUCUUGACAUCCUGGGAAUCCUUUAAAAAUAGGGGAGGGCCUUCGGGAACGCUGAGACAGGUGCUGCAUGGCUGUCGUCAGCUCGUGUUGUGAAAUGUUGGGUUAAGUCCCCCAACGAGCGCAACCCCUUAUCCUUUGUUGCCACCACGUAAUGCUGGAAACUCAAAGGAGACUGCCGACGAUAAACCGGAGGAAGGUGGGUAUGAC